rnacentral:snRNA from 1 species
AUACUCUCCAUUUUGGCAGCACACAGAGUAAAAGUGGAAAAACACAGAGAAGAUUAGCACGGUUGCUGUACAACAAUGACACGCAUAGACACGAGGCAGCAUUCCACAUUUUU